rnacentral:rRNA from 1 species
GACGAACGCUGGCGGCGUGCUUAACACAUGCAAGUCGAACGCUGAAGCUCAGCUUUUGUUGGGUGGAUGAGUGGCGAACGGGUGAGUAACACGUGAGUAACCUGCCUCCUUCUUUGGGAUAACGCCCGGAAACGGGUGCUAAUACUGGAUAUUCACUGGUCUUCGCAUGGGGGUUGGUGGAAAGGGUUUUUCUGGUGGGGGAUGGGCUCGCGGCCUAUCAGCUUGUUGGUGGGGUGAUGGCCUACCAAGGCUUUGACGGGUAGCCGGCCUGAGAGGGUGACCGGUCACAUUGGGACUGAGAUACGGCCCAGACUCCUACGGGAGGCAGCAGUGGGGAAUAUUGCACAAUGGGCGCAAGCCUGAUGCAGCGACGCCGCGUGAGGGAUGGAGGCCUUCGGGUUGUGAACCUCUUUCGCUCAUGGUCAAGCCGCAACAAUGGUUGUGGUGAGGGUAGUGGGUAAAGAAGCGCCGGCUAACUACG